AACGAACGCUGGCGGCAUGCCUAACACAUGCAAGUCGAACGAUUGCCUUCGGGUGAUAGUGGCGCACGGGUGCGUAACGCGUGGGAAUCUGCCCUUAGGUUCGGAAUAACAGCUGGAAACGGCUGCUAAUACCGGAUGAUAUCGCGAGAUCAAAGAUUUAUCGCCUGAGGAUGAGCCCGCGUUGGAUUAGGUAGUUGGUGGGGUAAAGGCCUACCAAGCCGACGAUCCAUAGCUGGUCUGAGAGGAUGAUCAGCCACACUGGGACUGAGACACGGCCCAGACUCCUACGGGAGGCAGCAGUGGGGAAUAUUGGACAAUGGGCGCAAGCCUGAUCCAGCAAUGCCGCGUGAGUGAUGAAGGCCCUAGGGUUGUAAAGCUCUUUUACCCGGGAAGGUAAUGACUGUACCGGGAGAAUAAGCCCCGGCUAACUCCGUG
rnacentral:rRNA from 1 species